UCCCUGGUGGUCUAGUGGUUAGGAUUUGGUGCUUUCAAUGCUUUGGCCUGAGUUCAAUCCCUGGCCUGGGAA
rnacentral:tRNA from 1 species